GAUGAACGCUGGCGGCGUGCCUAAUACAUGCAAGUCGAGCGAACAGACGAGGAGCUUGCUCCUCUGACGUUAGCGGCGGACGGGUGAGUAACACGUGGAUAACCUACCUAUAAGACUGGGAUAACUUCGGGAAACCGGAGCUAAUACCGGAUAAUAUAUUGAACCGCAUGGUUCAAUAGUGAAAGACGGUUUUGCUGUCACUUAUAGAUGGAUCCGCGCCGCAUUAGCUAGUUGGUAAGGUAACGGCUUACCAAGGCAACGAUGCGUAGCCGACCUGAGAGGGGGAUCGGCCACACCGGAACUGAGAAACGGUCCAGAAUCCUACGGGAGGCAGCAGUAGGGAAUCUUCCGCAAUGGGCGAAAGCUUGACGGAGCAACGCCGCGUGAGUGAUGAAGGUCUUCGGAUCGUAAAACUCUGUUAUUAGGGAAGAACAAAUGUGUAAGUAACUAUGCACGUCUUGACGGUACCUAAUCAGAAAGCCACGGCUAACUACGUG
rnacentral:rRNA from 1 species